rnacentral:rRNA from 1 species
UUGGAGGGCAAGUCUGGUGCCAGCAGCCGCGGUAAUUCCAGCUCCAAUAGCGUAUAUUAAAGUUGUUGCAGUUAAAAAGCUCGUAGUUGAACCUCGGGGUCUACCCAUUGGUCAGGCUUAAUUGUCUGCACUGGUGAGAUGGAUCUCUACCUUCUGAGGAACUUUCAUGCCAUUUAUUUGGUGUGAUGGGAAAUCAGGACUGUUACUUUGAAAAAAUUAGAGUGUUUAAAGCAGACUAUCGUCUGAAUACAUUAGCAUGGAAUAAUGAAAUAGGACGGACUGAUUCUAUUUCGUUGGUUUCUAGGAUCACCGUAAUGAUUAAUAGGGAUAGUUGGGGGCAUUAGUAUUCAAUUGUCAGAGGUGAAAUUCUUGGAUUUAUUGAAGACUAACUACUGCGAAAGCAUUUGCCAAGGAUGUUUUCAUUAAUCAGGAACGAAAGUUAGGGGAUCGAAGACGAUCAGAUACCGUCGUAGUCUUAACCAUAAACUAUGCCGACUAGGGAUCGGACGAAGUUAUUAAAAAUGACGCGUUCGGCGCCUUACGGGAAAC